rnacentral:rRNA from 1 species
CUUGGUCAUUUAGAGGNAGUAAAAGUCGUAACAAGGUUUCCGUAGGUGAACCUGCGGAAGGAUCAUUAUCGAAAUUAUUGGUGAGGGUUGUAGCUGGCCUUUCGAGGCAUGUGCACGCUCGAGCCCUUAAUCCACUUUACACCUGUGCACUUAAUGUAGGUCGCCCUUAAAAAAGGUGACCUAUGUCUUAUCAUCAACCCAUCGUAUGUCUCAUAGAAUGUAAUCGAUAUCCUCGCCCUAAAAAAGCGUUGAUAAACUUAUACAACUUUCAACAACGGAUCUCUUGGCUCUCGCAUCGAUGAAGAACGCAGCGAAAUGCGAUAAGUAAUGUGAAUUGCAGAUUUUCAGUGAAUCAUCGAAUCUUUGAACGCACCUUGCGCUCCUUGGUAUUCCGAGGAGCAUGCCUGUUUGAGUGUCAUUAAAUUCUCAACUCCAAGGGUUUCACGACCUUUCGGAGAUUGGACUUGGAGGUGCUGGCCGCAUAUUGGUCGGCUCCUCUCAAAUGCAUCAGCGGAAUUCAACCUUUGGCUUCCGGAUGUCAGUGUGAUAAUCAUGUUGCGCUGUCGUUUGAUCCCUCAGAGUCCGCUUAUAAUGGUCUUCGGACAAAAUCAUCAUCAAAUUUGACCUCAAAUCAGGUAGGACUACCCGCUGAACUUAAGCAUAUCAAUAAGCGGANGA